AACGAACGCUGGCGGCAGGCCUAACACAUGCAAGUCGAACGCCGUAGCAAUACGGAGUGGCAGACGGGUGAGUAACACGUGGGAACGUACCCUUCGGUUCGGGAUAACUCAGGGAAACUUGAGCUAAUACCGGAUACGUCCGAGAGGAGAAAGAUUUAUCGCCGAGGGAUCGGCCCGCGUCUGAUUAGCUUGUUGGUGAGGUAACGGCUCACCAAGGCGACGAUCAGUAGCUGGUCNGAGAGGAUGAUCAGCCACAUUGGGACUGAGACACGGCCCAAACUCCUACGGGAGGCAGCAGUGGGGAAUAUUGGACAAUGGGCGCAAGCCUGAUCCAGCCAUGCCGCGUGAGUGAUGAAAGGCCCUAGGGUUGUAAAGCUCUUUUACCCGGGAAGAUAAUGACUGUACCGGGAGAAUAA
rnacentral:rRNA from 1 species